CAUGCCUGUCUUGCACGUGCGUAGCGUUCGAGCUGUCUUGCAUGAACGGGCUGCCUGUCUUGUACACAUGCAUGUUCCUUCGGGUGUAGGUUGGGCCUCCCACAGAUCUGCAACUUGAACCCAAUGUUUAUGGCCAUUCGCUUGCGCAACUUUCUUUAGCCAUUGGCUGUCACGGCUAUGGGCCUUUCUCACUUGUCACAUGGGUUAUUGGCCUAUGUGUCAUUUUUAAGUCGAGGGCUAUGAUGGUUGAACAUUCAUGGGCUUGGGCCUUCCUCCUCAAAUUCCAAGAUUGCCUAAAGGCCCAUGCUUCAUCUCCUCCUUCAGAUUCUUGGGCUAGUCAGGUGGAAGGUCUAUAGGGCCGCCCUUGUUUAAUGGCAUCCAGGAUCCAUCUUAUGUGAUCUAAAUUUUUGAGAACUGGAUCAUUGCACUUAGGUGGGUCGACCUCCACUUCUCGGAUGUGGGCUUGCUAGGCCUUGUUUUCUUCUAGAUUUUAGGUCGAAGACCUAUACCAUGCGGCUUGCCAUGUGAAGCAAGAUCAUGCUUACUUGAUAUCACAUCACUAUCUAGCAUUGUUUGACGCAAAAGACAUCAUGAAGGAUAUCCUGAUAAAAGAAGAAGACGCACAGGACUUUGAAGCCCUUGAUGAGAAUGGUGACGCAAUAUGAUUGUAGGGGUCACCAUUGGUGAAGUACGACUGUGACCAUAGUUAGCAUAUAGAACCACUGUGGUUGGCACGACCGUGGUCAUAGAUCGUGUUAUGGUUUGGCAAGCCGCAAAUAUGUUGUUGAUUUGGUAAACUGCAAAUUACUGUUAUAAAUGAAAUUAAUUGGUCAUUCCACAUGGGUAGUCAGGAAUCCGUAUUGCCCUCAGUAGAU
rnacentral:lncRNA from 1 species